GACGUAGGUGGCGAACGUUAUCCGGAAUUAUUGGGCGUAAAGGAUGCGUAGAUGGUGUAGUAAGUUAUCGGUGGUAAAUCGAGGCUCAACCUCGUGGAAGUCGGUAAUACUGCUAUGCUAGACGGAUAGGAGAGGUUAACGGAACUCCCUGUGGAGCGGUGAAAUGCGUAGAUAUAGGGAAGAACACCAAUAAGGCGAAGGCAGUUAACUAUUCUAUUCCUGACAUUGAGGCAUGAAAGCGUGGGGAGCAAAACGG
rnacentral:rRNA from 1 species